AAUUUGUUGCGGACAAAUAAAGUGAAUGUGUGCAUCCACGGCACCUGCCGUUAAAAUUUGACCCUCUCCUGCGAUAAUUUCGGUGCCAGGCCCUAUAUUUAUUGUGACGCCAUCUUGCGUAUCAGGGUUACCCGACUUGCCAACCGCUGCUAUCCGGCCAUUUUUCAAACCAAUAUCUGCCUUAACAAUCCCCCAAUGAUCCAGCACUAGAGCAUUAGUGAUCACCGUAUCCAUCACUUCAUGGGCAAGCGCUUGGCUCUGUCCCAUACCAUCCC
rnacentral:sRNA from 1 species